rnacentral:rRNA from 1 species
ACUGAGGAACGAAAGCAUGGGUAGCGAAGAGGAUUAGAUACCCUCGUAGUCCAUGCCGUAAACGAUGUGUGUUAGACGUUGGAAAUUUAUUUUCAGUGUCGCAGCGAAAGCGAUAAACACACCGCCUGGGGAGUACGACCGCAAGGUUAAAACUCAAAUGAAUUGACGGGGACCCGCACAAGUAGUGGAGCAUGUGGUUUAAUUCGAAGAUACGCGCAGAACCUUACCAACACUUGACAUGUUCGUCGCGACUUUAAGAGAUUAAAGUUUUCGGUUCGGCCGGACGAAACACAGGUGCUGCAUGGCUGUCGUCAGCUCGUGUCGUGAGAUGUUGGGUUAAGUCCCGCAACGAGCGCAACCCUCGCUUUUAGUUGCCAUCAUUUAGUUGGGCACUCUGAAAGAACUGCCAGUGAUAAGCUGGAGGAAGGUGGGGAUGACGUCAAGUCCUCAUGGCCCUUACGUGUUGGGCUACACACGUGCUACAAUGGUAUCUACAACAGGAAGCGAAACAGCGAUGUUAAGCAAAUCCUUAAAAGAUACCUCAGUUCGGAUUGCACUCUGCAACUCGAGUGCAUGAAGCUGGAAUUACUAGUAAUCGCGUAACAGCAUGACGCGGUGAAUACGUUCCCGGGCCUUGUACACACCGCCC